rnacentral:tRNA from 1 species
GCCCCAGUAGCUUAAUUUAAAGCGUUGGUCUUGUAAGCCAAAGACUGCAGUCUAACCACUGCCUAGGGCU